GCACUGCUGAAGAGACCAAACCAGGUCGAAACAGCUGUGUAGUGC
rnacentral:hammerhead_ribozyme from 1 species